GAAACCGAGUCUUAAUUGGGCGUUAAGUUGCAGGGUAUAGACCCGAAACCCGGUGAUCUAGCCAUGGGCAGGUUGAAGGUUGGGUAACACUAACUGGAGGACCGAACCGACUAAUGUUGAAAAAUUAGCGGAUGACCUGUGGCUGGGGGUGAAAGGCCAAUCAAACCGGGAGAUAGCUGGUUCUCCCCGAAAGCUAUUUAGGUAGCGCCUCGUGAAUUCAUCUCCGGGGGUAGAGCACUGUUUCGGCUAGGGGGCCAUCCCGGCUUACCAACCCGAUGCAAACUGCGAAUACCGGAGAAUGUUAUCACGGGAGACACACGGCGGGUGCUAACGUCCGUCGUGAAGAGGGAAACAACCCAGACCGCCAGCUAAGGUCCCAAAGUCAUGGUUAAGUGGGAAACGAUGUGGGAAGGCCCAGACAGCCAGGAUGUUGGCUUAGAAGCAGCCAUCAUUUAAAGAAAGCGUAAUAGCUCACUGGUCGAGUCGGCCUGCGCGGAAGAUGUAACGGGGCUAAACCAUGCACCGAAGCUGCGGCAGCGAACGUAUCACCCAAGACAACUUUACGGAGUUGACGAUUGACGGAGCGAAGCGACGUCAAAGCGUUCAUUAAAGUCGAGUUGGCUUAGGGAUACGUUCGUUGGGUAGGGGAGCGUUCUGUAAGCCUGUGAAGGUGUGUCGUGAGGCAUGCUGGAGGUAUCAGAAGUGCGAAUGCUGACAUAAGUAACGAUAAAGCGGGUGAAAAGCCCGCUCGCCGGAAGACCAAGGGUUCCUGUCCAACGUUAAUCGGGGCAGGGUGAGUCGACCCCUAAGGCGAGGCCGAAAGGCGUAGUCGAUGGGAAACGGGUUAAUAUUCCCGUACUUGGUGUUACUGCGAAGGGGGGACGGAGAAGGCUAUGUUGGCCGGGCGACGGUUGUCCCGGUUUAAGCGUGUAGGUGUGUGUUCCAGGUAAAUCCGGUUCACUUUAACACUGAGGCGUGACGACGAGGCACUACGGUGCUGAAGCAACAAAUGCCCUGCUUCCAGGAAAAGCCUCUAAGCAUCAGGUAACAUCAAAUCGUACCCCAAACCGACACAGGUGGUCAGGUAGAGAAUACCAAGGCGCUUGAGAGAACUCGGGUGAAGGAACUAGGCAAAAUGGUGCCGUAACUUCGGGAGAAGGCACGCUGACACGUAGGUGAAGUGAUUUACUCAUGGAGCUGAAGUCAGUCGAAGAUACCAGCUGGCUGCAACUGUUUAUUAAAAACACAGCACUGUGCAAACACGAAAGUGGACGUAUACGGUGUGACGCCUGCCCGGUGCCGGAAGGUUAAUUGAUGGGGUCAGCGCAAGCGAAGCUCCUGAUCGAAGCCCCGGUAAACGGCGGCCGUAACUAUAACGGUCCUAAGGUAGCGAAAUUCCUUGUCGGGUAAGUUCCGACCUGCACGAAUGGCGUAAUGAUGGCCAGGCUGUCUCCACCCGAGACUCAGUGAAAUUGAACUCGCUGUGAAGAUGCAGUGUACCCGCGGCAAGACGGAAAGACCCCGUGAACCUUUACUAUAGCUUGACACUGAACAUUGAGCCUUGAUGUGUAGGAUAGGUGGGAGGCUUUGAAGUGUGGACGCCAGUCUGCAUGGAGCCGACCUUGAAAUACCACCCUUUAAUGUUUGAUGUUCUAACGUGGACCCGUAAUCCGGGUUGCGGACAGUGUCUGGUGGGUAGUUUGACUGGGGCGGUCUCCUCCUAAAGAGUAACGGAGGAGCACGAAGGUUGGCUAAUCCUGGUCGGACAUCAGGAGGUUAGUGCAAUGGCAUAAGCCAGCUUGACUGCGAGCGUGACGGCGCGAGCAGGUGCGAAAGCAGGUCAUAGUGAUCCGGUGGUUCUGAAUGGAAGGGCCAUCGCUCAACGGAUAAAAGGUACUCCGGGGAUAACAGGCUGAUACCGCCCAAGAGUUCAUAUCGACGGCGGUGUUUGGCACCUCGAUGUCGGCUCAUCACAUCCUGGGGCUGAAGUAGGUCCCAAGGGUAUGGCUGUUCGCCAUUUAAAGUGGUACGCGAGCUGGGUUUAGAACGUCGUGAGACAGUUCGGUCCCUAUCUGCCGUGGGCGCUGGAGAACUGAGGGGGGCUGCUCCUAGUACGAGAGGACCGGAGUGGACGCAUCACUGGUGUUCGGGUUGUCAUGCCAAUGGCACUGCCCGGUAGCUAAAUGCGGAAGAGAUAAGUGCUGAAAGCAUCUAAGCACGAAACUUGCCCCGAGAUGAGUUCUCCCUGAGACUUAGAGUCUCCUGAAGGAACGUUGAAGACGACGACGUUGAUAGGCCGGGUGUGUAAGCGCAGCGAUGCGUUGAGCUAACCGGUACUAAUGAACCGUGAGGCUUAACCUUACAACGCCGAAG
rnacentral:rRNA from 1 species